CCACCCACGCGAGCCCGCGGCCCCCUCACCUGCGGUCCCGGGGCUCGGGCCUCCUGCAAAGCCGCGGUGUCUCCGGGCCCCCCUGCACGUGUCUGCCCCGAGCAGCAGCCUUUAAAAUGUCAACGGGGGUUGGAGAGAUGAUUCUGUGUGUAAAGCACUUGCGGCUUAUUUCAGAAACCCAGCACCCAAUUGUGAAGCCAAGUGUGCCACUGAGUGCCAGUAAAUGUCAAAAGGCGUCAUGAAGUUUCUUUAUAAAUCCGUCUGAAGCUGAUGGUCUGAGAGGCUUCAGGCUUCAAUAUCCUGUGCUCCACCACAAAGAGCCAACAAACCCUGUUUGCUUAUUGGGGUGAAUAUAUUAGUUUUCAGCUCUUGUUUGUGUAAACCAAAUUCACAAAAUUUCAAAAUAAAAUGUCACUGUUUCCCCU